CAGAGGGGGCAAGCGUUGUUCGGAAUUACUGGGCGUGAAGGGCGCGUAGGCGGCCUGCUAAGUCGAACGUGAAAUCCCUGGGCUCAACCCAGGAACUGCGUCCGAUACUGGUUGGCUUGAAUCCGGGAGAGGGAUGUGGAAUUCCAGGUGUAGCGGUGAAAUGCGUAGAUAUCUGGAGGAACACCGGUGGCGAAGGCGGCAUCCUGGACCGGCAUUGACGCUGAGGCGCGAAAGCCAGGGGAGCAAACGGGAUUAGAUACCCCGGUAGUCCUGGCCCUAAACGAUGAAUGCUUGGUGUGGCGGGUAUCGAUCCCUGCCGUGCCGAAGCUAACGCAUUAAGCAUUCCGCCUGGGGAGUACGGUCGCAAGGCUG
rnacentral:rRNA from 1 species